GCUACGGGCGGCAGCAGUGAGGAAUAUUGGUCAAUGGGCGGGAGCCUGAAUCAGCCAAGUCGCGUGAGGGAAGACGGUCCUACGGAUUGUAAACCUCUUUUGCCGGGGAGCAACGGGGUCCUUGCGAGGGCCCGAUGAGAGUACCCGGAGAAAAAGCAUCGGCUAACUCCGUGCCAGCAGCCGCGGUAAUACGGAGGAUGCGAGCGUUAUCCGGAUUUAUUGGGUUUGAAGGGUGCGUAGGCGGGCUGUUAAGUCAGCGGUCAAAUGUCGGGGCUCAACCCCGGCCUGCCGUGGAAACUGGCGGCCUCGAGUGGGCGAGAAGUAUGCGGAAUGCGUGGUGUAGCGGUGAAAUGCAUAGAUAUCACGCAGAACGCCGAUUGCGAAGGCAGCUCACUGGACUGCAACUGACACUGAGGCUCGAAAGUGUGGGUAUCAAACAGGAUUAGAUACCCGGGUAGUC
rnacentral:rRNA from 1 species